GACGAGCCACACAAACGUUAUUCGGAAUCACUGGGCUUAAAGGGUGCGUAGGCGGCGCGGAAAGUUGGGUGUGAAAUCCCUCGGCUUAACCGAGGAACUGCGCCCAAAACUACCGUGCUCGAGGGAGAUAGAGGUGAGCGGAACUUAGGGUGGAGCGGUGAAAUGCGUUGAUAUCCUAAGGAACACCGGUGGCGAAAGCGGCUCACUGGAUCUCUUCUGACGCUGAGGCACGAAAGCUAGGGUAGCGAACGGG
rnacentral:rRNA from 1 species